rnacentral:tRNA from 1 species
ACCAGUGUGGCAUAGUGGUUUGAGUGUUGGACUAUGAUUCUGGAGACUAGGGUUCGAUUCCCAGCUCAACCA